AUUGAACGCUGGCGGCAGGCCUAACACAUGCAAGUCGAGCGGAUGAAGGGAGCUUGCUCUUGGAUUCAGCGGCGGACGGGUGAGUAAUGCCUAGGAAUCUGCCUGGUAGUGGGGGAUAACGUCCGGAAACGGGCGCUAAUACCGCAUACGUCCUGAGGGAGAAAGUGGGGGAUCUUCGGACCUCACGCUAUCAGAUGAGCCUAGGUCGGAUUAGCUAGUUGGUGGGGUAAAGGCCUACCAAGGCGACGAUCCGUAACUGGUCUGAGAGGAUGAUCAGUCACACUGGAACUGAGACACGGUCCAGACUCCUACGGGAGGCAGCAGUGGGGAAUAGUGGACAAUGGGCGAAAGCCUGAUCCAGCCAUGCCGCGUGUGUGAAGAAGGUCUUCGGAUUGUAAAGCACUUUAAGUUGGGAGGAAGGGCAGUGAGUUAAUACCUUGCUGUUUUGACGUUACCGACAGAAUAAGCACCGGCUAACUUCGUG
rnacentral:rRNA from 1 species